UCCGGAUCCAAGAUCCCACCUCACCUGCUCCUUUGGACUUUAACGCCUAACUUGGAUUCCAGAAAAGGCUUUGAUCUUCUCUAGAUGGAACUCCGUGCCUUCGAGUACAUAGCCAUCUGCUCUGCUGCACUGGCCUGGUCCUGAGGUCAUAAGGGUGCCACGAUACAAUCACCAUGCAGCGGCCUGCACAGAGGACAGCAAGAGAUAAGAAUUACAGCAUUCCACAAGUGGUAAAUGGAAAGCAGGCUGUAGGCCUGGAGUUCCUGGUCAGCCAGGCCUGCAUGUCCCGAGGGAUGCUUCUGAUGCAAUCAUCAAGUUCCAGACUGUGGGAAAACCCACAUACAAACAACCUGGUUUCGUCAGCAAGUGAAUGAGAGAAGAAAGCCAUGCCUUCAGCUGUAGGAGGAUCGACAGGUGACACCUGACCUUUGGAGUCUGGUUUGAACAGAGAAAAGUAAAUAUCUCUUAGGGCACUGAGACAGGUGGGAAUCUGGACCCCAGCAGGCAUGACUACUGAGGAACUUGGAUUGUGGGUGUUGUGGGGUAACGGAUGGAGACGUGGAGGUUUCCUUGCAAGUCUUUCUGAGUGGCACCAAAAUUCUCUACCACACAGGUUUUUUGGUUUUUGUUUUUGUUUGUCUUAGAAAGUAAUAAAGGAGUUCCAGUUUUAGCAAGCAGAAGCAUUCUGGGAAUAAAGACCGCCAUUUCUCUCC